UGACCGCUCCUGUGGCUUAGUGGUUAGAGCGUUAGCAUGGGAUGCGGGAGGUCGCAGGUUUGAACCCUGGCCGAGUCAU